rnacentral:tRNA from 1 species
GGGGGUGUAGCUUAGUUGUCAGAGCACUUGUCUAGCAUGCAUGAGGCCUUGAGUGCAAUUCCCAGUACAGCUA